UGUGCCAAACAGGAAAACAAAACCAAGUUGACCAAUCUAAUUUUUGCACACAGUCAUUUUCUCCAUAGAACAGAAGUCCUCAUGAGAACAGGAGGUU